AACGAACGCUGGCGGCAGGCUUAACACAUGCAAGUCGAACGAGAUCUUCGGAUCUAGUGGCAGACGGGUGAGGAACACGUGGGAACAUCCCUUUCAGUUCGGAAUAACGUUGGGAAACUAACGCUAAUACCGGAUACGUCCUUCGGGAGAAAGAUUUAUCGCUGAAAGAUUGGCCCGCGUCUGAUUAGCUAGUUGGUGAGGUAAUGGCUCACCAAGGCUACGAUCAGUAGCUGAUCUGAGAGGAUGAUCAGCCACAUUGGGACUGAGACACGGCCCAAUCACUUACGGGAGGCAGAAGUGGGGAAGAUUGGACAAUGUGCGCAAGCCUGAUCCAGCCAUGCCGCGUGAGUGAUGACGGCCUUCGGGUUGUAAAGCUCUUUUGUCCGGGAAGAUAUGACUGUACCGGAAGAAUAAGCCCCGGCAAACUUCGUGCCAGCCGCCGCAGUAA
rnacentral:rRNA from 1 species